CGGGGUGAGGCUGUUUCCCGAGCACCCCCCACCCCCGCAGAGGCGCCCCCCCGCGGGGUUACAUCAACACGCCCCCGCCGCGUGGAGGGCUCGGCAGGAGCCGCGCCUCCCACCCCCUCGCGGCCUCCCUCCCUCCCGGCCGAGGCUGCUAUUUUCGGCACCACGUUAUUUCCUGCUGUGAUUUUUUUCAGCCUGCUAAUUCGGGCUCUGAGAAGGAACUCCAUCCAACAGGAUGUCCUGCCUCAGUUUCUCCAGGACCAGGAUGUGGAAAGACUGGGCUGUGUAAUCCUAAAAUUUCUGGUUCUCAUCUCCAUCCUCAUCAGCUCCAUUCUAUUCUUCCUGGUUUCCACCAGCCAAGUUCAAGCCCGGUUGGCCAGCUGGGGCCGGUGCCCGGCUCGUUCUGUCCCCUCCGCCGGCAUUGUCCUCUCUCUUACCCACCUGCAAAUUCUUACUUAUCCUUCAAAAGCCAGCUGUGAUGUCACCACCUCUCAUACCUUUGACUCCUAGGGCGUCUGCCAGCUACUUUUUAAAUUUUAAAAAAGCUCAGGCAGGAUAAACAGAAUAACUAGAUUACUGAAAUUCUUUGUUUUUGCCUUACUGCGAACUAAUUCAGUGCAGUCAUGCUAGUUAUUACCUCUCGUUGCUCUGAAGCACUUACUGGCAAUUGUGUAACUAUUUGAGUACUGACAACUUGGAAAUGAAUAAUAAAUGCAAUUGGUUUGGCUGA
rnacentral:lncRNA from 1 species